ACACAGGGAAGGAGGUGGUCCGACAAAUUGAGUGACUUAUGGACAUGUGAGGUGGCUGCCCGCUAGCAGCACCGGGGAAGUCGAGCACCGACCUGUCGUGCGCUGGCGAAUUCCCCGCAGUCACCCGGCCCCCGAGCCCCUCGGUCCGUCCAACCAGGAACCAACGGCUCGGGGGUCGCCCAUA
rnacentral:sRNA from 18 species